UACAGAGGAUGCAAGCGUUAUCCGGAAUGAUUGGGCGUAAAGCGUCUGUAGGUGGCUUUUUAAGUCCGCCGUCAAAUCCCAGGGCUCAACUCUGGACAGGCGGUGGAAACUACCAAGCUGGAGUACGGUAGGGGCAGAGGGAAUUUCCGGUGGAGCGGUGAAAUGCGUAGAUAUCAUUUGGAACGCCAACGGAGAAAUCAGGUAGCUGGGGGUGUGCUGACGCUGAGACACGAAAGCCAGGGGAGCGAACGGG
rnacentral:rRNA from 1 species